ensembl:lncRNA
GCCGAUGCCGAUUUAAUGGUACAAUUUAAGCACGGUUUUCUCAGGCGUUAUUUCCUCUCUUCUAAGAAUGCUGUGGGUACAUCUGUGGGUAUUCAUAUGUUGAGAUAAAAAUACUGGUGGUGCUCAUCUCCCCCUUUUCUGCUGCUGCUGCUUGCAGUCAAUGCUUGUGGCCAACAUGCCUGCAUACACGCAGAUGUAUGCACACUGUAUCCGAUCCUGCCUCUUAAUUAUUUUCAGCCCAAUUCCUGCUCUUCUGCUUUGUGCUGAUGAAUGGGGAACCGUAGUAGCGUUGUGUCAUUUCACUGGCUUCUCAAACGUAGGAAUUAUGGUAAAGUUGAGAACAAGUGAGAUUGGAUCCAUAGUUCCACCUCCUUCUCUAAUUAGCCAACCGCAGUAUCUGCGGAGACAAAGAGGGAGUGAGAUUUCACCACGGCAGGAGUGGGGGAGGUUCUUUUUUGUCUGUUCUUUCUUGUCCGUCUGUUCUCACUGAGACUGAACCCUUUCAUGGUGUGUGCUUCAUUUACAACUUCCCUGACUACGCUACGUCAAAGGUUUCCCUGACCUUGGCUUCGUGAUUAUGCAGCAGAGCAUUAUAAAUUAUCUUGUCACCAGAAUCUCCAUUUAGGAAUAACUCUGGAUUUAACUGAAGCCCCUGGAGAAGUAUGACCUUGCUGUUCUCCCUUGCUAAGAGAUACAGCCUUCCUGUUUCCUUGGCCAAGCCAAGAUACCAGCAAAGGCUUGAAUCCUGCAAGAUCCUACAGCAGGCUGGAUUGCUUUUAGCUCACUAAAACCUGUGUUAUACAGUUAUAACACAAGCUUCAGGUCUGUGCAUAGUGUUAUUUCAUUUUUGGAAUAUAUCCUUUGUAACACCUUUCAGGCUCGAGGAAGAGACUUUUAACUGUUUCCUGCUGUCUGGGGAAGGAAAGGACAAUUCCCAGCCCAUUCCUUGGCUGUGGUCUUGAUCAAAUCCUGGCUGUUGCAACCAGGGCUCUGCAGAUGUGGAAACCCCUAAAGGAGAAAUUAAAAUGUGGCUCUACUUCUAAUGCAGGCUGUAGGACAUCAGAUAACUGUCUGGGCAUGCAGGCACACAAUGUCUGGGUCAAAGGAAAAGCUACAAACCAAAUCUGAUUGCUUUAUUGAUACCUUGUUUUUUUUUGUUCUUAAAAAUGCAAAUUUUUAGUAGAACCAGAAGUAUUUCUGGUAUGUCACAACAGGCAUCUGAAUAAACUUGCAGGUUAUACAACACAGUAGAAAGUGAAGCUCAUUUCUGCUUUCCCAGUUGCCUAGGUGAUUAACGUGAGAUAAAUACAGUUCUUCCUAUGUCUGUUCUUAAAUCCUGAAGACAAAGAGUUUUUGACUUGGUGUUGCAAGAUGUGAAAUCUAGCUGCUGAAACACCUUCACAAGAGUUGCACUCUCCUCCCUUCCCAUCCCUUGUGUUGUGUUUCUGCUCUGGAGCUCACCUUAUAGGUGCUAUUUAAUGCCCUCCAAACCCCUCAUAGGCUGGGAGCUGGGGUGGCUGAGUUCAGUGGUGUGUGAGCUUUACACAUAAGCACACACUAGUUAAAAAUACCAAGUAAUAUAUAAUUAUCUGUAAUACCAUUAACACCCUGCAAGCAUUAGAGCAGCAAAAGGUGGUUGGCCAUGAGGAAAAAACAGAUUGCUGGGCUAGAAAUCAGGAUACCAACUGCUGCCUCUGGCUUUGGCACCGAAUGGUGUAACCCUGAGCUCGUCAACUCAUUUCUCAUUCCUCCCUUAGUUUUUCCUCUGUCACGUCUAUUUAGAUAGGAUGUCCUUUGCGGCACGGAUUGUCCCUCCCUGCGUGUUUGUGCAGUGUGUGACACAGCAGGCCCCAAGCUCCACUGAUGGCUCCAAAACACGGAGCCUUCAUGAGAAGAGACUUCUGCUGCGGACAUCUCCACACACGAUGGCUUCAGGAAACCUCAGUUCUGCUGCCUGUUUUCCCUUCUCCUUCCUGAAGAUCUCAGGCUGUUUGUAAGAGAGCCUCAGCUAGAGGCUGCUGAGUGCUGGUGCCCUUAUUUGACAGAUCAGGAAGGAGAAAUACAGAAACGUGGAGUGGAUUUCUCCAGCUCACACAGGAAACAGGCUUUUUUUUUUUUCUUCCCUCCCUCCCCAGAUUCAGUGCUACAAAAAGGCAUUAAAUAAUAAAUACAUACAUAAUCCAAGCACAGCUUCCAGCUUUUACCUCCUGCUUCCUCUCCUUCACCAGCCCACAGAAACCACCACAUCUGCAUGUGCUUGCUUUAGUGUCUCCUCUUCCCUCCUCUCCUCUGCUGACCUCCUGAAGCACUUCAGGGAUUACCUGAGCAGCUCAGAGUCAUGCAGCGAGAUCUCUGCUUGCCAGAGGCGGCCAUUGAACACGCCCAUGAUGCCUAAUCCUGCCUGAGGCUGUGGAUGCCUGCCUCCACCUACCCCCGUUUACCGUCAAAAUGAGGCAUUUGCUGUGAGACUCUGAACAUCCACGCACUGACAGUAAUCGAAUUUCAUUCCUGUUUUAAAAGAGGUUGUUCCCGACGUGCUUGCUGGGCUGCUGUCGGUGCCUGCGCUGCGCAGGGCGGGCAGCCCCGGCUGUUGGCCGGGCUCGCAGGGCCACCUAGCGGGGUGGGCAGGAGGAGACGGGUCACUGCUGCUCCUCCCGAGCCGUGCUGGGCCUCGUUGAGGCUGCUGGUGGCCUCAGGGACUGGCAGGAGGCUGGGGGGAUUGUGCAGCUAAACCUCCGUCCGAGAGGAACAAAGAUGGUGACUUGAGAACGGCAUCGGAACGGCACUGUCCUAAUUGCUGUUAGCUGGAAAGCCUCCCAGCCUGGCUUCUGUGUGAUUUGCUCUCUGAGGCCUGGUACAGACACAAUAAACACCUACAGUGGCUCUAGGUGGGAGCUGAAUCAGUGGUGGUGUGAUUCAUCCUUCGUUUCCAUCGUGGAUUUCAUGGGACGCGAUGUUGGGUCAUCGCGUUGUGAUGCAGCCACCUACAAAAUGCCAUUUACCUCUGUAUUGCUUAGGCACAAAAAGCAGUAGGAACUCAAGAAGACAGGAGAACCCCCCCCCCCAAAGCAGGGGGGCUGGGCCUAGAGGUCCCUGCUGCCUCCUCACCCCAUGUGCCUUUGCUGGCCUGUCUCUCAACGUAGCCUCCUUGAUUGCAAUCCCUGGCGGAGGCUCUCAUGGGGGAAGGUUGUUACCUGAUUCCUUUGUUUCCAUCACAAGUCUG